UCACCGCAACGUUGUGAAGCUCUUCGGCUUCUGCUCCCACCGCCGCCACACAUUUCUGAUCUACGAGUACAUGGAAAAAGGAAGUUUAAACAAACUCUUAGCCAACGACGAAGAAGCUAAGCGACUCACUUGGACCAAAAGGAUCAACGUCGUGAAAGGUGUGGCUCACGCUUUAUCGUAUAUGCACCAUGACCGAAUAACACCGAUCGUUCACCGUGAUAUUAGCAGCGGAAACAUCCUUCUCGAUAACGAUUACACAGCUAAGAUCUCCGAUUUUGGUACAGCAAAACUUCUAAAGACGGAUUCAUCAAACUGGUCCGCCGUUGCUGGAACCUACGGCUACGUUGCACCAGGUAAAUCUAAAUCCCUAAAUCUGAUUUUGAGCUUAUGAAAUUUAAAUCACUAAAUUCGAAAUUGAACUUGAUUUUUCGCAACAGAGUUUGCUUACACGAUGAAGGUGACGGAGAAAUGCGAUGUGUAUAGCUUCGGGGUUUUGAUACUCGAAUUGAUAAUUGGGAAACAUCCGGGAGAUUUGGUAUCGAGUUUGU
rnacentral:lncRNA from 1 species